CGGGGCGUGGCGCAGACCGGCAGCGCGCAGCGUUUGGGACGCUGAAGUCGGAGGUUCAAGUCCUCUCGCCCCGACCA
rnacentral:tRNA from 1 species